AAUUGACGCCGUGGCGAUUUGUUCUCCGGAUUGCGGGCCACGUUAAACACACCGCUAAAGAGGUCAGGACGAGACGUGC
rnacentral:ncRNA from 1 species